GUCUCGGUAAUGUAGUGGAUCAGCACGGCAGGCCGGAUAUCUGUAAGUGCGAGUUCGAGUCCCGCCUGAGGUU
rfam:Dictyocaulus viviparus strain HannoverDv2000 D_viviparus-1.0_Cont1464.3, whole genome shotgun sequence.